rnacentral:rRNA from 1 species
ACAAGAACGACUCUCGGUAAUGGAUAUCUCAGCUCUCGCAUCGAUGAAGAACGUAGCAAAAUGCGGUACUUGGUGUGAAUUGCAGAAUCCCGUGAACCAUCGAGUCUUUGAACGCAAGUUACGCCCGAAGCCGUUAGGUUGAGGGCACGUCUGCCUGGGUGUCACAC